rnacentral:lncRNA from 1 species
AUUUAAUUUCAUUUCCAAAUUGACAUAUUGUAAAUUUAUCAAUUUAUUGUGAUCAGACGAUAAUAAAUGUAACAUUUGUUUAGUGUUUCAUUAAUAAAGGAAGACCAGCCAAUAUCUUGUGAAAAACUAAAACAAAUACUGUUACAGAUACUUAAAAAAAAGGAAAAGCGUUAUAACUACCAAUGACACACAUAUUAACAAGAGACCAAAGAAUAAGGAAUUAAAAGCUGCGUGUCACUGAACGCAUUUCAACAAUGAAGAAAUUUCACACCA